rnacentral:rRNA from 1 species
GAUGAACGCUGGCGGCGUGCCUAAUACAUGCAAGUCGAGCGAACAGACGAGGAGCUUGCUCCUCUGACGUUAGCGGCGGACGGGUGAGUAACACGUGGAUAACCUACCUAUAAGACUGGGAUAACUUCGGGAAACCGGAGCUAAUACCGGAUAAUAUAUUGAACCGCAUGGUUCAAUAGUGAAAGACGGUUUUGCUGUCACUUAUAGAUGGAUCCGCGCCGCAUUAGCUAGUUGGUAAGGUAACGGCUUACCAAGGCAACGAUGCGUAGCCGACCUGAGAGGGUGAUCGGCCACACUGGAACUGAGACACGGUCCAGACUCCUACGGGAGGCAGCAGUAGGGAACCUUCCGCAAUGGGCGAAAGCCUGGCGGAGCAACGCCGCGUGAGUGAUGAAGGUCUUCGGAUCGUAAAACUCUGUUAUUAGGGAAGAACAAAUGUGUAAGUAACUAUGCACGUCUUGACGGUACCUAAUCAGAAAGCCACGGCUAACUACGUG